UGAAGGUGGCUAGUGUGUGUCUUAUUUGGUAGAGCUAAAAGAAAUAAAACCUAUCAUAAGACACACGCGGCUAUUUUCG
rnacentral:pre_miRNA from 1 species